rnacentral:misc_RNA from 1 species
GAAACGCGAUAAUUAGUGCGAAUUGCAGAAUUCAGUGAAUCAUCAAACCUUUGAACGCAAGUUGCGCUCUCGGGAAACCUGAGAGCAUGCCUCUUUCAGUGUCGGUCUUCAAUACAAACACAUCUGUGUUUGUGUCAUGCACUUCUCCCUUGCCGGAGAUCUGUCGAAUACCACGCACUGCUGGACGCGGCGCCCUCUCUGCAUUGACGCGCAUAUGUAUUUGGAUAGUUUUACUGUCUGUGAUGCGUGGCGUGUUCGCUCGGCAGGGUUGCGUGCUCGUCCCCUUAAAGCAGCGUCAUUCGUGCUCUGUGUACUUACGUGCACACGCGCACACCCACCAAAACAAUGACCUGAAAGAGGUAAGACUACCCGCUUGACUUAA